GUAGCACCAAAUGUUGACACAACGUUGCCACCACACUGAGAAAGUUGAUUCAACGUUGUGGCAACAUUGCUUGCUACUAGGGAAGGCUGGGCAGCUUAA
rnacentral:lncRNA from 1 species